UACGUAGGGACCGAGCGUUGUCCGGAAUCAUUGGGCGUAAAGAGCGUGUAGGCGGCCCCUUAAGUCCUGCGUGAAAUCCUGCGGCUCAACCGCAGACGGUCGUGGGAAACUGGAGGGCUAGAGUGCGGGAGAGGAGAGUGGAAUUCCCGGUGUAGCGGUGAAAUGCGCAGAUAUCGGGAAGAACACCGGUGGCGAAGGCGGCUCUCUGGACCUGUCCUGACGCUCAGGCGCGAAAGCUAGGGGAGCGAACAGG
rnacentral:rRNA from 1 species